CACGUAGGGCGCAAGCGUUGUCCGGAAUUAUUGGGCGUAAAGAGCUCGUAGGCGGUGUGUCGCGUCGGUCGUGAAAACUUGGGGCUUAACUCUGAGCUUGCGGUCGAUACGGGCAUCACUGGAGUUCGGCAGGGGAGACUGGAAUUCCUGGUGUAGCGGUGAAAUGCGCAGAUAUCAGGAGGAACACCGGUGGCGAAGGCGGGUCUCUGGGCCGAAACUGACGCUGAGGAGCGAAAGCGUGGGGAGCAAACAGG
rnacentral:rRNA from 1 species